AGUACAUUAGUUCAGCGGUAGAAUAGCUCGUUGUCUGCGAGAAGGUCACGGGUUCGAUCCCCGUAUGUACUG
rnacentral:tRNA from 1 species